rnacentral:rRNA from 1 species
UACGGAGGAUCCAAGCGUUAUCCGGAAUCAUUGGGGUUAAAGGGUCCGUAGGCGGUUUUGUAAGUCAGUGGUGAAAGCCCAUCGCUCAACGGUGGAACGGCCAUUGAUACUGCAAGACUUGAAUUAUUGGGAAGUAACUAGAAUAUGUAGUGUAGCGGUGAAAUGCUUAGAGAUUACAUGGAAUACCAAUUGCGAAGGCAGGUUACUACCAAUAUAUUGACGCUGAUGGACGAAAGCGUGGGGAGCGAACAGG